CCUACGGGUGGCAGCAGUGAGGAAUAUUGGUCAAUGGGCGGAAGCCUGAACCAGCCAAGUAGCGUGCAGGAUGACGGCCCUACGGGUUGUAAACUGCUUUUAUACGGGAAUAACGCGCCUUACGUGUAGGGCUUUGCAUGUACCGUAUGAAUAAGGACCGGCUAAUUCCGUGCCAGCAGCCGCGGUAAUACGGAAGGUCCGGGCGUUAUCCGGAUUUAUUGGGUUUAAAGGGAGCGUAGGCCGCAUGUCAAGCGUGCUGUGAAAUGUCCGGGCUCAACCCGGGCCUUGCAGGAAUGCGGAUGCCGUGGGAGGAAUGUGUGGUGUAGCGGUGAAAUGCAUAGAUAUCACACAGAACACCGAUUGCGAAGGCAUCUCACGAAUCCGCGAUUGACGCUGAUGCACGAAAGCGUGGGUAUCAAACAGGAUUAGAUACCCUUGUAGUC
rnacentral:rRNA from 1 species